rnacentral:lncRNA from 1 species
AACUUUUGCCAAACAGUUUGUUGUUGCAGUGGACAAAAGAAUCAAGGUUGCCCUUGAGCCUUUUGUGACUUUGCCUGAGCCAGUUGCAGAUUUGGAGAACAGAUUCAAUGCUCAGACAAAAGAAAUAUCAGGAGUGGAUCUUGCUAAUUUUAGACUGGCAUUGGACAAGGUAAAGGCAGAUGUUGGGAUGUUGCAGCAGCACCAAUUUAUA